rnacentral:rRNA from 1 species
AUUGAACGCUGGCGGUAUGCUUAACACUUGCAAGUCGAACGGCGGCACAGCAGAGCUUGCUCUGUGGGUGGCGAGUGGCGGACGGGUGAGUAAUACAUCGGGACCUACCCAGACGUGGGGGAUAACGUAGGGAAACUUACGCUAAUACCGCAUACGUCCUACGGGAGAAAGCAGGGGAUCUUCGGACCUUGCGCGGUUGGACGGACCGAUGUUCGAUUAGCUUGUUGGUGAGGUAAUGGCUCACCAAGGCGACGAUCGAUAGCUGGUCUGAGAGGAUGAUCAGCCACACUGGGACUGAGACACGGCCCAGACUCCUACGGGAGGCAGCAGUGGGGAAUAUUGGACAAUGGGCGCAAGCCUGAUCCAGCAAUACCGCGUGUGUGAAGAAGGCCUUCGGGUUGUAAAGCACUUUUAUCAGGAACGAAACGCUGUCGGUUAAUACCCGGCGGAACUGACGGUACCUGAGGAAUAAGCACCGGCUAACUUCGUGCCAGCCGCCGCAGUAA